rnacentral:rRNA from 1 species
UACGGAGGGUGCAAGCGUUAUCCGGAUUUAUUGGGUUUAAAGGGUGCGUAGGCGGAUUGAUAAGUCAGUGGUGAAAGCCUGCAGCUUAACUGCAGAACUGCCAUUGAUACUGUCAAUCUUGAAUAUGGUUGAUGUGGGCGGAAUAUGACAUGUAGCGGUGAAAUGCUUAGAUAUGUCAUAGAACACCGAUUGCGAAGGCAGCUCACAAAGCCAUUAUUGACGCUGAGGCACGAAAGCGUGGGGAUCAAACAGG